rnacentral:rRNA from 1 species
GACGAACGCUGGCGGCGUGCUUAACACAUGCAAGUCGAACGGAAAGGCCCUGCUUUUGUGGGGUGCUCGAGUGGCGAACGGGUGAGUGACACGUGAGUAACCUGCCCUUGACUUUGGGAUAACUUCAGGAAACUGGGGCUAAUACCGGAUAUGAGCUCCUUCUGCAUGGUGGGGGUUGGAAAGUUUCGGCGGUUGGGGAUGGACUCGCGGCUUAUCAGAUUGUUGGUGGGGUAGUGGCUUACCAAGGCUUUGACGGGUAGCCGGCCUGGGAGGGUGACCGGGCACAUUGGGACUGAGAUACGGCCCAGACUCCUACGGGAGGCAGCAGUGGAAAAUAUUGCAAGAUGGGCGGAAGCCUGAUGCAGCAACGCCGCGUGCGGGAUGACGGCCGUCGGGUUGUAAACCGCUUUCGACUGUGAAGAAGAGUGAGUGACGGUAAUGGGUAAAGAAGCACCGGCUAACUACGUG